UACGGGGGGGGCAAGCGUUGUCCGGAAUUAUUGGGCGUAAAGGGCGCGUAGGCGGUUCGGCAAGUCUCUAGUGAAAUCUCUGGGCUCAACUCAGAGUCUGCUGGGGAAACUGCCGGGCUUGAGUGUGGGAGAGGAGAGUGGAAUUCCCGGUGUAGCGGUGAAAUGCGUAGAUAUCUGGAGGAACACCGGUGGCGAAGGCGGCAUUCUGGACCGACAUUGACGCUGAGGAGCGAAAGCCAGGGGAGCAAACGGG
rnacentral:rRNA from 1 species